rnacentral:rRNA from 1 species
CGUACGCUGGCGGCACGCCUUAUACAUGCAAGUCGAACGAAGUAGCAAUACUUAGUGGCAGACGGGUGAGUAACAUGUAGGUAUCUUCCCUUUGGUGAGGAAUAACACGAGGAAACUUGUGCUAAUACCUCAUAAGUCUUUACGGAGAAAGCUUUAUGCGCCGAAGGAUGAGCCUGCACUUGAUUAGUUUGUUGGUGGGGUAAUGGCCUACCAAGACUUUGAUCUAUAGCUGAUCUGAGAGGAUGAUCAGCCACAUUGGGACUGAGACACGGCCCAAACUCCUACGGGAGGCAGCAGUAGGGAAUAUUGCACAAUGGAGGAAACUCUGAUGCAGCGAUGCCGCGUGAGUGAAGAAGGCCUUUGGGUUGUAAAGCUCUUUCGUCGGGGAAGAAAAUGACUGUACCCGAAUAAGAAGGUCCGGCUAACUUCG